UACAGAGGUCCCAAGCGUUGUUCGGAUUCAUUGGGCGUAAAGGGUGCGUAGGCGGCGCGGUAAGUCGGGUGUGAAAUCUCGGGGCUUAACUCCGGGACUGCAUUCCAUACUGCGGUGCUUGAGGACUGGAGAGGAGACUGGAAUUUACGGUGUAGCAGUGAAAUGCGUAGAGAUCGUAAGGAAGACCAGUGGCGAAGGCGGGUCUCUGGACAGUUCCUGACACUGAGGCACGAAGGCAAGGGGAGCAAACGGG
rnacentral:rRNA from 1 species